rnacentral:rRNA from 1 species
UACGAAGGGGCUAGGCGUUGCUCGGAAUCACUGGGCGUAAGCGCACGUAGGCGGAUUGUUAAGUCAGGGGUGAAAGUCCUGGAGCUCAACUCCAGAACUGCCUUUGAUACUGGCGAUCUCGAGUCCGGAGAGGUGAGUGGAACUGCGAGUGUAGAGGUGAAAUUCGUAGAUAUUCGCAAGACACCAGUGCGAAGGCGACUCUUUGGCCUGUAACUGACGCUGAGGCGCGAAAGCGUGGGGAGCAAACAGG